UGGGAUCUGAUGAGCGUUUUCCCACAUGAUCAAUUAGGAUUAUAAUUUGUGGUACAUUUAGUUUUCUCCUCUUUAUAGGAGAAAUCAAGCCAGAAGUUCUGAUCUCA